rnacentral:rRNA from 1 species
GCUUGUUGGUGGGGUAAAGGCCUACCAAGGCGAUGAUCGAUAGCUGGUCUGAGAGGAUGAUCAGCCACACUGGGACUGAGACACGGCCCAGACUCCUACGGGAGGCAGCAGUGGGGAAUAUUGGACAAUGGGCGAAAGCCUGAUCCAGCAAUGCCGCGUGUGUGAAGAAGGUCUUCGGAUUGUAAAGCACUUUCGACGGGGACGAUGAUGACGGUACCCGUAGAAGAAGCCCCGGCUAACUUCGUGCCAGCAGCCGCGGUAAUACGAAGGGGGCUAGCGUUGCUCGGAAUGACUGGGCGUAAAGGGCGCGUAGGCGGUUCACACAGUCAGAUGUGAAAUUCCAGGGCUUAACCUUGGGGCUGCAUUUGAUACGUAUGGACUAGAGUGUGAGAGAGGGUUGUGGAAUUCCCAGUGUAGAGGUGAAAUUCGUAGAUAUUGGGAAGAACACCGGUGGCGAAGGCGGCAACCUG